GGACUACAGGGGUAUCUAAUCCCGUUCGCUCCCCUGGCUUUCGCGUCUCAGCGUCAGCAGGCGUCCAGGACCGCGCUUUCGCCACGGGCGUUCCUUCCGAUCUCAACGCAUUUCACCGCUCCACCGGAAGUUCCCGGUCCCCCUACGCCCCUCCAGGACGGUCGUUGCGGCGCCCCUUCCCCGGUUGAGCCGGGGGCUUUCAGCGUCCGCCGUGCCGUCCCGCCUACACGCGCUUUAAGCCCAGUGAUUCCGAAUAACGUUCGCACGGUUCGUCUUACCGCGGCGGCUGGCAC
rnacentral:rRNA from 3 species